UUUCUCUAAUCUUGAUUAAGAAUAGAUUAUCCCUUUUUCUUGAUAAGAUAUAAGCAUAUUAAAAGUUACAAAUUACCCUCUUCUAAACUGAUAUUGUUCUUAGUAUUUUCUUUGUUCUCAAGUGUCAAGGACACAAAAAUACACACUCGAGAUCUAACAAGAAGUUCAAGAAGAACUAACAAGAACUAGAUUAAUCAGAUGAGAACAACACCAGAGAGGUGAGCUA
rnacentral:lncRNA from 1 species